GACGCUCUCCCCAAGGACGAAGCCAUGCAUGCCCGCUCACCCGGGACGCGGCGGACGGCUCAGGACAACGGUUGCACCCCCCGCGGCGGUCCCUGCUAGCCGGACACCGCUUGCAACCCGGCGCCAAUACGUGCUCUCAAGGGCUUGGCUCCCGCGGGCGAGCAUCGUGACGCAGAU
rnacentral:rRNA from 1 species